rnacentral:rRNA from 1 species
GUAGGGGGCUAGCGUUAUCCGGAAUUACUGGGCGUAAAGGGUGCGUAGGUGGUUUUGCAAGUCUGAAGUGAAAGCCCGGGGCUUAACCCCGGGACUGCUUUGGAAACUGUAGGACUAGAGUGCAGGAGAGGUAAGUGGAAUUCCUAGUGUAGCGGUGAAAUGCGUAGAUAUUAGGAGGAACACCAGUGGCGAAGGCGGCUUACUGGACUGUAACUGACGUUGAGGCUCGAAAGCGUGGGGAGCAAACAGGAUUAGAUACCCUGGUAGUCCACGCCGUAAACGAUGAUUACUAGGUGUUGGUGGGUACGACCCAUCGGUGCCGCAGCAAACGCAAUAAGUAAUCCACCUGGGGAGU